UGAGAGGGUGGGGAGUGCCUGCGUAUGAGGAGGACAUUAGGGCAGGACACAUAUCUUACUUCCCUCCCAUUCUGGGCACAGAAACCAAAAUCAUCUGUUACUUCACCAGCUGGAGCCAGUACUGCCCUGGGAUUGUCCGCUACAUGCCCCAGAAUAUGGACUCUUGCCUGUGCAUACACAUCUUCUAUGCUUUCGCUGGCAUGGCCAACAACCAGAUCAAAACCAUCGAGUGGGAUGAUGAGGCCCUCUAUGCCGGCAUCAAUGGCCUUAAGAACUAGUGAGCUCUGAACCUGGGCUUUGUGCUGGGUUAAAGGCUUCUAUAUGAGGCUUUCACGAGUUCCCCAAGAUAUACCGACACCAGAAUGUUUAGCCUUUGAGUGCUGUCCACAGUCACUCUCAUGCCAUGCCUCAUUAGUAGAACUUUCAGCAUCCUUCUCCCCAGGAGAGGCAGGUUGCUGUCAUUUUUCUGGAUUAUUGUCUCCAGGAAAUUCAGAUACCCAGCAUUCUAUUCUGUGUGUCACAGGAGGUGCCAUUCACAAAGGAUUCUUUGUGAAUAGUGUCCCCUGAAGUUUGCCAUGUUGCUGUAUAGCCCCACAACAACCUAUCAACUAGCUACCAAUUUAACCCAAAAUUUAACCUAAAAUUGCACCAGCUAAAUGCUUAGCAUAUUUAUUGGGUAACUACUGUGUGCAAGGUGCUUUCCAUUUAUUAUUUUAUAUACCCGCACAAUAAACAUGAUGAAGUGGGCAUAUUAAAACCAUGUUAAGGUUGAGGAAACUGAGUCAUAGGGAGAUUAAAAGCUUUCCCUAGCCCACAGAACCCAGGAAGGCCAGAUCGCCUUAUCAGCUAGGUUGAUGCUUUUGUCUCAUCAGGAAUCCAAUGGGUAGGUUUUAUGGUCAAGCUCACAGGACCAUGGUAUAAAGGACUUAGAUGUGAAUCCUGGCUCUGCCACCUCAUGCAUUGGAUGAUCUUGGUCAAGUUGCCUAAUCUCUCUGAAUGCCACUUAAAGGUCAAAUGAUAUUAACAGUUUCUGCUUUGUGGGAUUAUAAGGGUUAAAAAAGCAAUGCAUGUAAAGUGCCUGGCAUUUAGCAGGCACUCAGUAACUGGUAGACACUUCCACUGCCUGUGUUCCUCGCUGUCUCCUAGAAUCAGACUUCCAGCUUUCUGGCCUUGUGUAUCCCAGAAGCUCCAGCCAGUCUACCUUCUGUGCUAAGGGGUUGAUUUCUGGCUCCCUCAUCCUGCCCAGGAUGCCCUGUCUUUUCUUCCCGGAAGCUCCCUUCUGCACCAGGGUCCAUCAGCCCACUGGCAGAGAUGGGAGCAAGAACCUACUCAAUGAGUUAUUUAUAGCGUGCCCUGGAGGACUCAUGGCACAAGGGCCCCUUGAUCCUACAGAGAGCUUGGCUCCCAACACAAGGCCUUGUGUGGGAUGUGAGGAUAGAGGGACCGACUGGCAAAUGACAGCUCCUUGCAAGUGGAAUUUCUUUACACUAGUAUCUUUUUAUCUCCAGCAACACAGAACUGAAAACCUUGCUCUCUGUUGGUGGCUAGAACUUUGGAUCCCAGGGGUAAGACCUUGUAUUCAGGACUGAAUCAUUUCCAGAUUAAUCAGUCUCUUCCAAACUCCAAGGACUGUAAGUUUCUGUAAUGUGAGUGUACCCUGGGCCUCAGACCCCAGUGUAGACCUCUCAGAACUCUUCUCUGACCAGUUCUCCCUGAAGUCUGCUCUUCCUUCAUCAUAGCUCUUACCAUACUAUUUUUUUAAUUGGACAUUUCGUGAAUUUAUGUUAUAUUAUUUUUAACUUUGUUUUUUAAUUGACAUAUAAUAACUGUACAUAUUUAUGGGAUACAUAGUGAUAUUUCAACACAUAUAAUGUAGAGUGAUCAGAUAAGGGUAAUUAGCAUAUCUAUUGUUAAAUGUUGACAACAUUUAAUAUCCUCUUUUUAGCCAUUUGAAACUUUACAUUAUUGUUAACUAUAGUCAUCCUAUACCACACUGUAUUUUAAGUUCCAUUUACUUAUCUAUACCUUCCUGUAUAUGAGCUCCUCCAGGGCAGAAACUAUUUUAUUCACUACUCUAUCCCAGCAAUGUUAAUAAAUGACAGAAUAACUGAAUGAUAGUAAAUGACAAUAAAUGACAGAAUAACUGAAUGACAGUAAAUGACAAUAGAUGACAGAAUAACUGCAUGUAUGUCCAGGCAAAUAGUAAGGAGGAUAGGUGGCAAGACGGAGUAUCCAGGGGCUUAGGCUACUGUGAUUUAUGCUGCAAUGACUUAUUGACUCCAGAUUCUCUGACGUGGUAUGGUGGCCACUGCUGAGAACCGCCAGGCCUUCAUGCAGUCAGCCAUACAGUUUCUGAGGAAGUACAACUUCAAUGGGCUGGACAUUCAUGGGAAUAUCCAGGCAAUCGUGGCAGCCCAACUGACACCCAGCAGCUCUUCACCAUCCUGUUGAAGGUGUCUCACCCUCACUGUGUCCAAAGAACACACAAUCUGGCCCACAGCAGGCUGGGACACGGCCUCUCUCUGGAGAGGGGUUCUGAGAGAGGCUGAAUAUAUCCUGGCCAGAGGUGUGGAUCUCACCCUUUCUGGCUCACAGCCUCAUCUCUUUAGUGUAAGAGCAGAUCUCUCUUUUGGGGAAAACUGCCACUGGCAGUGAGAAGUAUAUCUUUGAGCACCAGUGUUGGCUUUAGUGCUCUUAUUUCCCCUUCCUCCGUUUUUCUGGUAAUUAGAUGCAAUCACAUACAGCUUGCAGGGCUGGAGGCCAUUUUUGUCUCUUUAAUACAAUCUCUCUCCUUUUUUUUUUUUAAAUUGUACUCUGGACAUUAUUUGUUUAUUUUAAAAUUUAACUGUCAGAGGAUGACCAAAUUUCCCUCAUUUCCAAGUUUUCGAAAGACAGCUUACUGUUGUUCCCAGAGACCAACGACAGCUUUUGGAUCAAAGGACUCUAAAUCAAGCACUUUGUAGCUUUCUUCAUAAGAGCUGUGACCUCGUCACAUGCCCACUGGUCCCUCUAGCCUGUGUUCGGUGUCUUCUGUUUCACAGGAAAUGCAUGAGUCUUUUGAGCAAGAGUCCACCCACAGCAAAAAGCCCAGACUGCUGAUUUCUGCUGCUGUGUCAGCUGGCAAAGGUACCAUUGGGACUGCCUAUCAGAUCCCCAAGAUGUCAAGGUAAGCAAACCCAGGAGCCCAUACUCAGAGCUAAGUGACCCUUAGACCUUCCCCAGGCAUUGCCAAAUGCACAGAUACCAGUGACCAAUGCUCAGGUACCCAGGAUAGAGAGGACUCUAUCUCAGAGGAAUGAAAUGACCCCAAUUCCUGAGGAAGAGGCAGAGGGAGCCAGUAUGAAUGCUGGCCUUGUUUCUAAGUCUAUCUCCAAGGUUCUCGAGGGUAAAUGGCCAUUGGGAGAAGGUUAAUUGAGUCUCAAGCUUUUACAAGUCCUGAAGGUCUGAGUGUAGCCAGAUAGUGAUCAUGGUGUGGGUGCCUUUUAUAUUCCAGGUGCUCUUGAGAUGAAGAUAAGGGAGAAUGGAAUAAAGAAUAAUAAUGCAUAAGGGAAUCCUUAUUGCAUAGUAGCAAACAGCAGAUUUGGCUGUUUGGCAAAUCUGCAAUCAGCCGAUUUGGGACUAGGAGCAUUAGGGGUAGUGGGUUAGAAAGAGUGAUUUCCCUUGGGUCAUUUAUUUCCUCCUGUUCCCUCUCCCUACUACCUAAGGUACGUGGACUUCAUCAGUGUGAUGACCUGUGACCUAAGGGGCUCCUGGGAGGGCUUCAUAGGAGAGGACACUCCCGUUUGCAGGAUCUAAUGACUAGGGAGACUACAAAUACUUUAAUAUGUUCUGCUGCUUCCUGAAAGGAGCCACCGAGGUGUGGAAUGACCCCCAGGAGGUGCCUUAUACCUACAAGGGGAACCAGUGGCUGGGGUAUGACAACUCCAAGAGCUUCACCCUCAAGGUUGCAGAGUACCCACCUCUACCCUGGGAACCAGCUUGACUCCCAUCGUCACUGUAGCACCUGGGAUUGGCAGCACUGGUGGCAGUGGAUUCUGUACUGGGAAGUCCAGCGGUCUGUAUCCUAGCCCCACCAGCAAGCGUGCCUUCUACAAUGUGUGGAUGAGCACACCUAUGAGGAGGCUUGUCAGGAAGGCCUGGUCUUUGAUACCAGCUGCUCUUGCUGUAACUGGGCAUAAGCUAUUCACCUGUUGCGUCCCUUGGAGAUUGUAAGACAAAAGGAUGAUUAAAGGGAAAUUUUGCAUGU